rnacentral:rRNA from 1 species
AUGGACGGCCUCCUCCAUUGGGAUUUCUCCCCCGGCUCAAAGAUCGAGUGCCAGGUGCGUGCUCGCUUUGGAUCUAUGGUUCACUUUUUCCCCAACCCCAACUCCAAGGAGUUCUUCCUUGAAGUUUCUUUCUCCUUGGCCUCGUUUCCUCUCUCAGUGGAAUCUGUGGGAUUGGCUCUUCGGUCUUGCAUUGGUGGAAUCAGUGAUGGUUUCAAGCUGCUUCGUCUGGGUGAUCAACAUUUCCGGUUUUCAGUGGCAUCUAAUCGUGUUGGACAUUUCAUGUAUGGCCUUCGAGACUGCAUUUGGCCGGAUUUCAUAUGUCACUUCCAUCUCCAUCGUGGUUCUCAGUCUCAUGUUCAAUUAUUUGGAUGGAAUGCGGAUUCCGAGAUCAAUGAUCUAGCCUCUUCACCUGGCCCGGCUAUCAAGUUUAAAUGGCUAGCAUCUAAAUCUAUGGCGGUCUCUGACACGGUCUCUCUCUCUCUCUCUCUCUCUCUCUCUGUUUUUGAGAAGUUUGGGCUCAUCACCACGCCGACGGUGGGACAUUCUGGUGAAGGUGACACACCGGAUCUCAAUUUUGGAAGGUUAUCUUUUUCGGUUUCUCGGGAUAAUCAUCAUCUUUUUCAUAUUGGGACUGUUAACUUGCCUGUCCGGCCGGAUUCUUAG